rnacentral:rRNA from 1 species
CCGUGGCUCAGUUCAGAUCGUAGGCUGCAACUCGCCUACGUGAAGGAGGAAUCGCUAGUAAUCGCAGGUCAGCAUACUGCGGUGAAUACGUUCCCGGGCCUUGUACACACCGCCCGUCACACCAUGGAAGUUGGCCAUGCCCGAAGUCGUUAC